rnacentral:rRNA from 1 species
AUGAACGCUGGCGGCGUGGAUAAGGCAUGCAAGUCGGACGAUUUCCUUUUUUGAAGAAGAUGCGAUUACAUCAAGUCAACUGAUAUUUUGGAGAUAGUGGCGAACGAGCUAGUAACACCUUGGUACGUACCCGAAAGUUUGGUAUAGCUCGCCGAAAGGCGGGGUAAUCCCAAAUAGUCCCUUCAUCUAUCGGAUGAUAGGGUAAAGUAGCAAUACGCUUUCGGAUCGGCCUAGGUCCGAUCAGUUAGUUGGUGAGGUAAUGGCUCACCAAGACAAUGACCGGUAGGGG